UGCCCUAUGAUUGCAAUGGUAUCAAGUGGGGUUUAAACUCCAUGUCUAGGUUCGAAUCCUAGUAGGGCAA
rnacentral:tRNA from 1 species